rnacentral:rRNA from 1 species
AUUGAACGCUGGCGGCAUGCUUUACACAUGCAAGUCGAACGGUAACAGGCCUUCGGGUGCUGACGAGUGGCGCACGGGUGAGUAAUGCAUCGGAACGUACCCAGAGGUGGGGGAUAACGCAGCGAAAGCUGUGCUAAUACCGCAUGUGAUCUGAGGAUGAAAGCGGGGGACCGAGCAGCAAUGUUUGGCCUCGCGCCUUUGGAGCGGCCGAUGUCGGAUUAGCUAGUUGGUGGGGUAAAGGCCUACCAAGGCGACGAUCCGUAGCUGGUCUGAGAGGACGACCAGCCACACUGGGACUGAGACACGGCCCAGACUCCUACGGGAGGCAGCAGUGGGGAAUUUUGGACAAUGGGCGCAAGCCUGAUCCAGCAAUGCCGCGUGCGGGAAGAAGGCCUUCGGGUUGUAAACCGCUUUCGGCAGGAACGAAACGGUGUCCGCUAAUACCGGGCGCUAAUGACGGUACCUGCAGAAUAAGCACCGGCUAACUACGUG